rnacentral:rRNA from 1 species
AACGAACGCUGGCGGCAUGCCUAACACAUGCAAGUCGAACGAGACCUUCGGGUCUAGUGGCGCACGGGUGCGUAACGCGUGGGAACCUGCCCUUAGGUUCGGAAUAACUCAGAGAAAUUUGAGCUAAUACCGGAUAAUGUCUUCGGACCAAAGAUUUAUCGCCUUUGGAUGGGCCCGCGUAGGAUUAGCUUGUUGGUGGGGUAAUGGCCUACCAAGGCGACGAUCCUUAGCUGGUCUGAGAGGAUGAUCAGCCACACUGGGACUGAGACACGGCCCAGACUCCUACGGGAGGCAGCAGUGGGGAAUAUUGGACAAUGGGCGAAAGCCUGAUCCAGCAAUGCCGCGUGAGUGAUGAAGGCCUUAGGGUUGUAAAGCUCUUUUACCAGGGAUGAUAAUGACAGUACCUGGAGAAUAAGCUCCGGCUAACUCCGUGCCAGCCGCCGCGGUAA